GACGAAGGUGGCAAGCGUUACUCGGAAUUACUAGGUGUAAAGCGUGGGCAGGUGGUUUGGUAAGUCUGCUGUGAAAGCUCCUGGCUUAACUGGGAGAGGCCAGUGGAUACUGCCAGGCUUGAAUAUGGGAGAGGUGACUGGAAUUCCUGGUGUAGCGGUGAAAUGCGUAGAGAUCAGGAGGAACACCGGUGGCGAAGGCGCACAUCUGGCCCGAUACUGACGCUGAGGCGCGAAAGCUAGGGGAGCAAACGGG
rnacentral:rRNA from 1 species